rnacentral:rRNA from 1 species
UACGUAGGGUCCGAGCGUUGUCCGGAAUUACUGGGCGUAAAGAGCUCGUAGGUGGUUUGUCGCGUUGUUCGUGAAAACUCACAGCUCAACUGUGGGCGUGCGGGCGAUACGGGCAGACUUGAGUACUGCAGGGGGAGACUGGAAUUCUCGGUGUAGCGGUGAAAUGCGUAGAUAUCGAGAGGAACACCUGCGGCGAAGGCGGGUUGCUGGGCCGACACUGACGCUGAUG